AUGGGUCUCUGUCUCGGCAAGACCAGCAGCCACGGCCCUUCACCGUGGCCAGACCUCCCACAGGAGCUAGUCGGCCUCAUCCUCCGCCGCGUGCCGUCCCAUGCCGACCGCAUCAGCUUUGAGGCUGUCUGCCAUGACUGGCGCCUCGCCGCGAAGCAGCAGCGGCCGCCAGCCAUGCCAUGGAUCAACCUCCGAGUCGGUUCCUACCAGAGCAUCGUUGAUGGCAAAAUUUACUGCUUCGCCGCGCCGAGCUGCCGCCCCCGUGCCUCCUUCGGCAGCUGGUUUCUCUACGAGCACUCCGGUCGGUUGUUCCUGCACGGUCUUCUCUCUGGAAACACACCCACCAUUGAGAUCCCGUGUUGCUACCAUGAGUGCACCGACGAUUGCGACGUCGCCGCCCAUGACCGUGGAAUGACGGUGACGCUGAUGGGUGGCACAGCUAUGGCGCGUUUAACCAUGUACAAGAUCGUUGUGUGCUCGUUUCAUCUCCUCGCGGCGAUCCUCUACACCGGAGGAACCAACACCACAUUUAGUUUUGCAUUUUAUCGGCCCGGCACGCUUUCAUGGUCACUCCUUCGCGCGUCUGAUUACAAGGACAUAGCCUUUCACCGUGGACGGAUCUUUGCUCUCACUUCCACUGAGGAGCUCUUCAUCCAUGAGGUCAUGCAACCUUGCCACUUUGAACACAUCAUCGAGAAACGGCCUGCCACGGCGGCGGUGGAUGCAUCUGAAUACUUUCGCGUGAAAUUUCGUUUGGUUGUAUCAUCCGUCGAGACAAAGCUACUGAUGGUGCGCUGGAGCAUCCCUGGUGGGGACGGGAUUCAUCGUACCAUGAUGAAAUUGCAGGUGUUCGAGGCAGAGUUGCAAAAGAAAGAGUGGAUAGAAGUGAAGGACUUGGGUGACCAGGUUCUCUUCAUCAGCAACACUUGCUCCAGGGCAAUUGUAUCAUCCACCAUCGAGCACACUGACAUCAAGUUCGGAGGAGGGAACCGUGUGUUUCUUUUGGGCACCGACUGGGCAUGCCAGUGGAUCACAGCCAGCCCAUGCAGGUGCUACGAUUGCGACAAGUUCAUCCAGUGCAUUCCUAGCUAUUGUGUAUAUGACAUGGCAAGUGGCACGGUUAGCGUUGCUUCACUGAGUGAAGGUUGCUUCAUGAGGAAUGCAGCGUCUGAAUGGUUCUUUCCAUAUUGA
rnacentral:rRNA from 1 species